AACGCACAUUGCGCCCGCCAGUAUUCUGGCGGGCAUGCCUGUUCGAGCGUCAUUUCAACCCUCAAGCCCCAGUGGCCUGGUGUUGGGGACCGGCGACCUCGCCCGGGGGAACACCCCCGGCGCGUCCGCCGCCCCCGAAAUGAAUUGGCGGCCCCGUCGCGGCCUCCUCUGCGUAGUAGCACAACCUCGCAGCGGGAGCGCGACGCGGCCACUGCCGUAAAACGCCCAACUUUUUUUUAGAGUUGACCUCGGAUCAGGUAGGAAUACCCGCUGAACUUAAGC
rnacentral:misc_RNA from 1 species